rnacentral:tRNA from 1 species
CGCCAGAUAGCUCAGAAAGGUAGAGCACCUCACUAGAGAUUCAGGAGGCCCGGGUUUGAAUCCUGGUCUGGUCC